CCAGCGCCACAGCACAAGAUGGCCGCCAGCCCAGCGCCACAGCACAAGAUGGCCGCCAGCCCAGCGCCACAGCACAAGAUGGUUGACUCAACGCCUGAGUCUUCCGUCAAGGAGCCACCGGCACGCCAUCAUAGAGGCCGCAGGAGGAGGAGACAGGCGUCAGCCGUUCCUCAAAGCCCGGAGGACGUUCCCGAGCAGGCCGCUGCCGUCCAGGAGGACGUUCCCGAGCAGGCCGCUGCCGUCCAGGAGGACGUUCCCGAGCAGGCCGCUGCCGUCCAGGAGGACGUUCCCGAGCAGGCCGCUGCCGUCCAGGAGGACGUGCCCAAGGUUCCCGAGGCGGUGCCUGAUGUCGAGGCGGUGACCGAUGCUGUUCCGGAGGUCGAGGCGGUGCCCGAUGCCGAGGCGGUGCCCGAGGCUGUUCCGGAGGUCGAGGCUGUGCCCGAUGCCGAGGCAGUGACCGAUGCUGUUCCGGAGGCCGAGGCGGUGCCCGAGGCUGUUCCGGAGGCCGAUGCGGUGCCCGAGAUGGUUCCGGAGGCCGAGGCGGUGUCCUUGUCCCAUGCCGUUCCGGAGGCCGCUCCCAGGGCGGUGCCCGAGGUCGUUCCCGAGGCGGUGCCCGAACCCGAGGUCGUUCCCGAGGUGAUACCCGUGUCCAAGGCCGUUCCCGAGGCGGUGCCCUUGUCCAAGGCCGUUCCCGAGGCGGUGUCCAAUGCCGUGACCUGGCCAUCGCCACAGUCUGCUCCUCACUGGCUCUCCGAAUGGCAGGUUCCGUUCGGGCCACUCAAAUGGCGAAUUCCUCCCUGGCCAUCUGCACAACGAGAAUGGACUGAUCCACCGUGGCCACCUGAACUGCCUGGCCCCUCGUGGUCCCCUGAACUUUCGGGUCCACCGUGGCCACCUGAACUGCCUGGUCCCUCGUGGUCCCCUGAACUUUCGGGUUCACCGUGGCCACCUGAACUGACCGAGCCACCUGGGCUACCAGGGGAGCCAUCGCUGCCGGUCCCAGUUCCCCUACAUGGGCCUGGCCCGCCAUCCCUCCCCCUGUUCUGCCUCCACCAGUCCACCUCCC
ensembl:lncRNA